GUCUACGGCCAUGCCACUCUGAACAAGCGCCAUGUCUGAUCUAGGAAGCUAAGCAGGGUCAGUCUGGUUAGUACUUGUAUGGGAGACCACCCAGAAAGACCAGGUGCUGUAGGCA
rnacentral:rRNA from 1 species